rnacentral:rRNA from 1 species
GACGAACGCUGGCGGCGUGCUUAACACAUGCAAGUCGAGCGGGGCGGCGAACGGGUGAGUAAAGGGUGAGUAACUGCCCCCCUAUCUGGGAUAACAGUUGGAAACGGCUGCUAAUAACGGCUAGUGGGGGAUGACUCGGGUCCUAUCAGCUUGUUGGGGGGGUAGGGGCCUACCACGGCGACGACGGGUAGCCGGCCUUAGAGGGCGACCGGCGACCUUGGUCUGAGAUAGGUCCCAAACUCCUACGGUAGGCAGUAGUCGGGAAUAUGGCACAACGGGGGAAACCCUGAUGCAGCAACGCGCGUGCGGGAUGACGGCCUUCGGGUUGUAAACCGCUUUCAGCCAUGACGCGGUACUGGCAGAAUAAGCACCGGCUAACUACGUGCCAGCAGCCGCGGUAAUAC